AUGUCCAAUGGCCAUUGGAAUUUUAUCUAUCCUUCUAUUUUUCAAGAUAAUUCAUAUUUGUUGGCAAAAAAGCAAAGAAAUAAGUUCGUCAUUCCAUUACAAUAUCAUCAAGAACAAGAGAAAGAACUAAUAUCCUGUUUUGGGAUUUUGAUUGAAAUACCCCUUAUGGGUGUUUUACGUAGAAAUACUAUUUUUGCUUAUUUUGACGAUCCCCGAUACAGAAAAGAUAAAAAGGGUUCAGGAAUUGUUAAAUUUAGAUAUAGGACCCUAGAAGAAGAAUAUAGGACUCGGACCGAAGACUCCGAAGAGGAAUAUGAGACCCUAGAAGACGAAUACAGGACCCGAGAGGACGAAUAUGAAUAUGAAACCCUAGAAGAAUCUAAGUAUGGAAUCCUAGAAGACGAAUACGAAUAUGAAACCCUAGAAGAUGAAUAUGGGAGCCUAGAAAAUGAAUAUGGGAACCCUGGAGUGAUCCAGGAGUGGCUCACUGGACAACAGUUGAGAAUAUUUUUAAGUACCUCAGAAGGACAAAGGACAUGCUCCUAG
rnacentral:rRNA from 1 species